rnacentral:rRNA from 1 species
AUUGAACGCUGGCGGCAGGCCUAACACAUGCAAGUCGAGCGGAUGAGGGAAGCUUGCUUCCCGAUUUAGCGGCGGACGGGUGAGUAAUGCCUAGGAAUCUGCCUAUUAGUGGGGGAUAACGUUCCGAAAGGAACGCUAAUACCGCAUACGUCCUACGGGAGAAAGUGGGGGAUCUUCGGACCUCACGCUAAUAGAUGAGCCUAGGUCGGAUUAGCUAGUUGGUGAGGUAACGGCUCACCAAGGCGACGAUCCGUAGGUGUUCUGAGAGGAUGAUCAGACACACUGGAACUGAGACACGGUCCAGACUCCUACGGGAGGCAGCAGUGGGGAAUAUUGGACAAUGGGCGAAAGCCUGAUUCGGCCAUGCCGCGUGUGUGAAGAAGGUCUUCGGGUUGUAAAUCACUUUAAGUUGGGAGGAAGAGUUGUAAGCUAAUAUCUUGCAGCUUUGACGUUACCAACAGAAUAAGCACCGGCUAACUCUGUGCCAGCCGCCGCCGUAACAC